ensembl:snoRNA Gm24279 predicted gene, 24279
CCUACCUGCAGAGGCAUUGCAGGUGUGGCUGCCGUGUCCCAUGUGUGUCAGUAGGUGGCAGACAGGAGAGAGGCUAUGUCUAAGCUCAAUGUUCUGACCUGUAAACAUUUGAAUAAUUAGUAUCCUACAUU